rnacentral:lncRNA from 1 species
GCGAGGGUGUGCGGCGAGGUGCUGGCUUCGGGGGGAAGCGGCCACCACCGCCGGCCUCCGCCGCUCCGCGCCUCUCUCCCGGCCACCCUGCGCCGCCAGGGCCCCGCGGACCUGCAAACCCGAGGCCGAGAGCGGAACUGCCCUGCCGUUUCCCGGGCUCGGGGAUCUCGGGGCUCGCGAUGGCGAUGCGCCGCGAGGAAAGGCGAGGAGCUGCGUGGGGGCUGAGUGUCCUCGGAGCGCCGGGACGCGGGGAGCGCACGCCCCCGGGCUGGGGAAGCUGCCGCCCCGGGACCCCCUGGGCCAAGUCCCUCCAUCUUCGCGGCGCCCGAGCACUGAGGCCGGGGCGGCCGGCGCUCUGGCCUUGGAUGGAAAGUGGGAGAUGGGAUGCGGGGCUCCGGACCUCCUAACGUGGAUUACUUGGUGCGUCCCAGCCGGGCUCAGAAGACUCAGGACCUCCCUCCAUCCUUGGAUUGAUUCAUUCCACCUGGCCGUCGGGUCGCGUUACCCGGAGCUCUAA